rnacentral:lncRNA from 1 species
GAUGCUAAUACCUUCCCCUUGCAUAAUCGACUCCCGAACCCGAAUAUGGUUGUGACGACCAUUAUUCUAUUUUCUAAAGGUUUUAUCGAUAUUUUCCUAUUCCUUCAUUGGGAUGAAUAAAGUUCGGUGACGACUCUGUUUGAACUAAUUUUUCCGCGACCAUCACGAGGGAUCGUAUUUCUCAAGAUGCGACAACUGGAAACUCUAUUAGGGAAUUUGCUUCAUGCAAGAGAGAGUCAAGCUUAAUUUAGUUUAAUUUGCAAUGAAUGUUAAAAUGUUGUUUC